rnacentral:pre_miRNA from 7 species
CUUUCCAGGCCGAGCUUUGGUACUUGGAGAGUGGUUAUCCCUGUCCUCUUCGCUUCACUCAUGCCGAAUCGUACAGGGUCAUCCACUUUUUCAGUAUCAAGUGCGCAGACUCUGCAGC